rnacentral:rRNA from 2 species
GGAGCCGGCCUUGAAAUACCACCCUUUAAUGUUUGAUGUUCUAACGUGGACCCGUGAUCCGGGUUGCGGACAGUGUCUGGUGGGUAGUUUGACUGGGGCGGUCUCCUCCUAAAGAGUAACGGAGGAGCACGAAGGUUGGCUAAUCCUGGUCGGACAUCAGGAGGUUAGUGCAAUGGCAUAAGCCAGCUUGACUGCGAGCGUGACGGCGCGAGCAGGUGCGAAAGCAGGUCAUAGUGAUCCGGUGGUUCUGAAUGGAAGGGCCAUCGCUCAACGGAUAAAAGGUACUCCGGGGAUAACAGGCUGAUACCGCCCAAGAGUUCAUAUCGACGGCGGUGUUUGGCACCUCGAUGUCGGCUCAUCACAUCCUGGGGCUGAAGUAGGUCCCAAGGGUAUGGCUGUUCGCCAUUUAAAGUGGUACGCGAGCUGGGUUUAGAACGUCGUGAGACAGUUCGGUCCCUAUCUGCCGUGGGCGCUGGAGAACUGAGGGGGGCUGCUCCUAGUACGAGAGGACCGGAGUGGACGCAUCACUGGUGUUCGGGUUGUCAUGCCAAUGGCACUGCCCGGUAGCUAAAUGCGGAAGAGAUAAGUGCUGAAAGCAUCUAAGCACGAAACUUGCCCCGA